rnacentral:rRNA from 1 species
AUGGAUCUGGUCACGGUGGAGUUGGAGCUCGAUCGGACAAGCGGUGGCGUGUUGGAGCAGUGCUGGUUUGGCCAGCCGGUGCCGCGCGGAGUGCGAAGAGAUCGUCGGCGACAUGCUGCGGGAGCGGGACAGCGGGAUCUGCUCUGGGCGGUCCAGGGCAUGCCGGUGCCGCUCGUGCGGCCGAACGGCGGCCGUAGCGGCACGGCCGGGGAGAGUUGCGUCGAUCAGUUGCUGCAUCAAUUGAUUCCGAAGAAUAAGCUUGUGGACAGUGAGAACUCGGGCGAAGAAGAAGAAAAAGAGCUUGAGCCCUUGGAUGAUGAUGGUGAUUUUAUUGAUAGUAGGAGGCGACCGAAAUGUCUUAAGGUCGCAGAAACUGAAACUCCUGAGCGGCAAAAGCUUCCUAUGCAGGCUCCAUCGAAACAAGAAAAGAAGGAUGUUGUCUUCUACAAGCAGCAAGCAAAUUUUUUGUUCAAAAGCUUAUCUAAAGGCCAACAUGAAUCAUCAACACUGCCAACUGAGACUGGACCAUACCUUUUCCAGGUCAAGGAGUGCCUUAUUAUUUUCUCUGCCAACCAAUUAGGAGGCCUAGAUCCAGGGUCAGGGCCGGCAGGGCUUGGUCGUCUAUGCCUACAACUACGUGACAGGGUCGGGUUGACGCCGCUGAUGAAGAUGCACACCCUCAGCCAUGACUUUGUACCCGAUCCCAUCCAUGCAGUUUUAAUCAAGGACAACUGGAGCCUAUUGAUUUUCAAUCGUCGACUCAUGAUUUGCUUCAGACAAGCGAAGCUGUUGAGGAGGAGCACGGGUGCCCGGGACGACAACAACGACAAGGCAAAGAAGACAUCGUGGAUUCAUUGUCCAGGACAUAUAUGGAUUGUGCUCCCUGCAUUUUCUAAUUUGUCCACGGCUCAGCUUGGUUUCAUAAGCUCCUCUAGCCCGCAUAUGCACGUUCACAACCGCACCAACAAGCCAGGUGCGCAAAGGACCGCACAAGAGGCGCGCCCUGGGCACGCCCCAUCCACUAGUUUACUGCAAGAGUAG